rnacentral:rRNA from 1 species
UACGUAGGGUGCAAGCGUUGUCCGGAAUUAUUGGGCGUAAAGGGCGCGUAGGCGGUCGUGACAAGUCACUUGUGAAAUCUCCGGGCUUAACUCGGAACGGUCAAGUGAUACUGCUGUGCUAGAGUGCGGAAGGGGCAACUGGAAUUCUCGGUGUAGCGGUGAAAUGCGUAGAUAUCGAGAGGAACACCUGCGGCGAAGGCGGGUUGCUGGGCCGACACUGACGCUGAGGCGCGAAAGCGUGGGGAGCAAACAGG